rnacentral:lncRNA from 1 species
GGAAGAUAUGCCUACAACACAAUAAAAGACAAGUCGACCAGAUAGUUUUUAAAAGUUUUUAUUGGGGAAGCUGCAGCAGGGGCAUCAGAACAGCUCAGUCCCUGGUUGGAGGGGUUGGUGAGCAGGCCGUCACACGCUGCAGCCACAAGGGUCAUCUGGUGUCAGAGGUUAAACAGAGCUCACUGGACCCAAUAUUGACCUGAGAUCAGUGUAUAUGAAAAUGUCAUAACUUCACACAAUCCUCACACUGACUUAGUGACUGAUGUGAGUGAAAGUUGGAAUUACAGCAGGUAUCUCAGCUUAAUAUUUGGUCCACUGAGUAUGGGCACACUGGACAGAGACUGGAACAGCAAGGGCAUGACAACAUAUAUGUUUUUCAGUUGGAGGGCUGUUAAGGAAUAUCUUCUAUAGAUCAGUAAAUAAUCAACUUUUUAUUGAGGUAUUGUAUUAGGAUACUUGGGUUCAGAAACCUCACUCCUACACAACGUAAAUUAAAUGGAAUGACUUGUCAUAACUUGGUUUCAAAACUAGUCAUCAUCAUGGCCAUAGUGACAUUUUCUACGGGAACGCUUUGACUAAGGUCAGUAAAGUUCAGUAAGAGCGUGUUGGGCUAUACAAAAAAAGUCAUCAAAGUUGAUUGGUCGCGUACUGAUUUGCAAGUGCAGCGAAAUGCUUAUGUUUCUAGCUCCAACAAUGCAGUUAUAUCUAGUAAUACAAUACAUACAUAAUCCAACAUUUGGAAAAAGAACAGGAAAUGAAGACGUAUCAGAAUAAUGUAUGUGAAUGUUGUUUAUAGACAGUCCAGAUCAGGGAAGUAGAAUUAGCUGAUUAAUGUCCAAAAGUUUUUUUCUCGGGUGUAAAGUAACAAUACUAGAAAUGUUCUGAGCAAAUAAGGUAAGAAAUAACAAACAAAUCUAAAUACUGCAAAGUUGGCUAGGAGCGAGAAACAGGGCGUCUGCUGACAUACAGGUCUGUGAAUGCAUCCUUUUUCAAGACAUGCUUAAUAAUAAUUUAUUGGUCCCAGCCAGUUAUCCAGUGUGACCUUUAACCUCAGGAUCCGCACUUCUGCACGGCUGUCUCGGUCGUCGGCGCCUGGCCGCCGAUAGCGAUACCAUCAUCAGGUUCAGGGGUCAUUAUGGCCGCCGGUGGAUCAGAACCUGACGUCAACUGCUCCUUCUUAAAGCCUGAGGGGACAGGAAAUACAGAGAAGUAGUACACACACAUUCUAUGUAAAGGUUAUGCAAAGGCCAGACAAGGUUUAGCAGACCAGCACCAAGAUUUUAGUUAUCAAAAGAUGCAAUUAAUUAGCCUGCCUAAUCGUAGUGACUGAUAAUGCUUUUUAAAUCCUAGCCGUACAUAGCUGGUUAUCAAACAAACAACAGCUCAAGAAGUAUCCAAUUGUCAAAACAGUUGCCGUCACGAUUGACACAGGGUAAAUGCUACAGCAGUCUUUUAAAGACAUAUGGAGUGACCUUAGAGUGUUAUUAUAGAAGUUGCUACACAGAUCUAACAAAUGUUGUCCAACCAGGGAUUAGAGAUGAACCUUCUCAGCCUCUGCUUAAAAUGUGGAGAUGCAAUAAACUAAUUGAAAUUAGAAGACUUAGCCUGCAAGCCAUGGGAUAACUCAGUCUCUGAUAAGGGAACCUAUCACCAGUGACAGCCUGCCCACUGGGCAAAAACUGGUUGAAUCAACAUUGUUCCACUUCAUAAAAAAAUGUAUAAUAAUGUGAUGAUGUUGAAUCAACGUGAAAAACUGAUUGGAUUUGCAAAAAUGGAAUUUAGUCUUUUUCACCCAACUUUUAACAUAAAUCCAAUGCCAUGGUGAAAUGUUUUGUUGAUUUCACAUUGGUUGACAACAGAAACAGAGGUUGAACCGUCUGUGCUACAUAUCAGUGUAAUGUAUCAAUGGCCGAUAUUGCCCUAUUAAAUGUAUACAUGCAGUAAAGAGGUUAAUGAAACGCAGGGCUCUAUUCAAUGUGGAUUGAUGAACUACAGAUUGCGUGACAGAGAUGUAAAGGUCAUUUCUGAUUGAGCUGACAUAUGCAGCGAAUUGAAAAGAGCCUGCAAACGGUGGGGGAAACACAAGGACGUGGUUAUUGGCGGCCAUUCAAAAACAACAUUGGUUCUAACAAAGUGGUAUUUAUAAAAUCCGUCAUGAUUUAUGUGUUCGAACAGGCCCACAAUGUGGUUAUUAAAAUCAAAUAUGGAUAUAUUUUGUUGUUUAUGCUGCAUAAUGUUGGGGUUUAACUUGAAAUAUACUUUUUCCUGUCACUAUAUAAUAACUUAUUGAUUAAGUUACAUGUAUGAUAAGGCAGGACAGCUGAAGGGAAACAGUCUCUGAUAAGGCAGGCCAGCUGAAGGGAAACAGUCUCUGAUAAGGCAGGCCAGCUGCAGAACUAGGGGGGGAGCGAGGAUGUAUUGGCUGUCUAGAUAUGUAAGUAGUUGACCGCGCCUAGUAGGAGGUUAUAAACACAUGUGCUUGUGUAAUCAUAACUAGGGCUGUUACGUUAACCGUAUUUCCGCCACACCGGUGAUCACGAGUCAUGACGACAGUCAAAUUCCACGUGACCAUUUAGUCAUGGUAAUUAGGCUUCUCCAAGCUCUGAUGCUGCUGAUGAUCAUUAGCAGUCUACCAAACUUGUGAACUGCCUGGUACUCAGCACUCUACUCGCUCUAAUCACUCUGACAUCAAUCCAAAUCUAAUAAAAAAUCUAAUCAAACACUUCAUGAGAGUCC